GUGGACGGCCUCAACGAGGCGCCCAGGGACACUCCGAUGAUCACCGAGUGCACCAGGAUUCCCAGCUCCAGAACCUGCACCAAAGUUUCACUUAUGGUUAUUGAUUGAGUAAUACUCCUACCAUGUUGGCUGAAGAAUCUGCAAAGGGGGGCUUGAUUGUGAGGCUGGGGAAGAGGAAGAAGGCAUUGUUCUGUUCCACUUGUCUGCAAUAGGAUUCUCUGCCUUUAGCACCAACGGCAGGGACAACGUCCCCGUUCUUGGACGGGGACAGUACACAAGCCUAUGGCCCAAGAACAUGAGCUUUUGUACGGUGGAGAAUGAGGACUACUAACUGUACUACGCAAAGUAGUAGUGCCUCUUUUACUCUGUUGGUAUUCAGAGUAGUGUUUCAAUCAGCCCAAUUGAUAUUAUUUCUUAUCAUUGUUCCUCUUUUACUAGAGCAUCUUAUUAUAGACAGAUGACAAAAUAUUAUUUCUUAUCAUUGUGUUCACUCCAACUAGAUUAAAAGUAGG